ACAAGCGGUGGAGCAUGUGGUUUAAUUCGAAGCAACGCGAAGAACCUUACCAGGUCUUGACAUCCCCUGACAACCGAGAGAUCGGCGUUCCCCUUCGGGGGACAGGGUGACAGGUGGUGCAUGGUUGUCGUCAGCUCGUGUCGUGAGAUGUUGGGUUAAGUCCCGCAACGAGCGCAACCCUCGACCUUAGUUGCCAGCAUUCAGUUGGGCACUCUAAGGUGACUGCCGGCUAAAAGUCGGAGGAAGGUGGGGAUGACGUCAAAUCAUCAUGCCCCUUAUGACCUGGGCUACACACGUGCUACAAUGGGCGGUACAAAGGGUCGCGAACCCGCGAGGGGGAGCCAAUCCCAAAAAGCCGCUCUCAGUUCGGAUUGCAGGCUGCAACUCGCCUGCAUGAAGUUGGAGUUGCUAGUAAACGCAGGUCAGCCAUACUGCGUUGAAUACGUUCCCGGGGCUU
rnacentral:rRNA from 1 species